rnacentral:rRNA from 1 species
CAGCCGCCGCGGUAAAACGGAGGGGGCUAGCGUUGUUCGGAAUUACUGGGCGUAAAGCGCACGUAGGCGGCUUGGUAAGUUAGAGGUGAAAGCCCAGGGCUCAACCCUGGAAUUGCCUUUAAGACUGCCGAGCUAGUAGGUGAGAGAGGUGAGUGGAAUUCCGAGUGUAGAGGUGAAAUUCGUAGAUAUUCGGAAGAACACCAGUGGCGAAGGCGGCUCACUGGCUCAUUCUAGACGCUGAGGUGCGAAAGCGUGGGGAGCAAACAGGAUUAGAUACCCCCGUAGUCCCUGUCUCUUAUAC